UUUGGGAAUAGGCGUGUAUUUUUGAAUGUCAACAUUCUAUAUUUUUUCGCUUAAGUCUUGCCCUAAUAUAAAGUUCUUAAAUGAUCCUAAUUAAAUAAAAAAAAAACGAUUUAUAGAAAACUCGCUGUGCGGAGAACUCAGCAACGUCGUGGUGCAUAUAUAUGCUUAGGUAAGUUCAAAACAUACAAAUAAUUACCGAAUUACUGUACAGAUUUUUGUCAUAUUUUCAGAAUGAAACCAGAAAAGGGACUACCGUGUCCGUCUCCAUGUAUUCCCGGCCAAACAGAUCUUGAAAAGACCAGAAUUUUCUGUAGACAACUGCAGCCUCAUAUGCACCAUCAUAAACAACAGCAGAUUGACCAACAUAGAUGAUAAUAUACAUAUAUUCUAAUAAAAUGAUAAAAAUAAACAUUUCCUGAGCAUAAA